rnacentral:rRNA from 1 species
UUUGAUCCUGGCUCAGAACGAACGCUGGCGGCGUGGAUAAGACAUGCAAGUCGAACGCUUGUUUCAGGGUAGCAAUAUUCUGGAGCAGGAGUGGCGCAAGGGUGCGUAACACGUGGGUCAUUUGCCGUGAAGCUGGGAAUAACUCGUUGAAAGACGAGCUAAUACCCAAUGUGCUCCGCAAGGAGUAAAGCCGGGGACCGCAAGGCCUGGCACUUUACGAUAAGCCCGCGGCCUAUCAGCUAGUUGGCGGGGUAAAAGCCCACCAAGGCUAAGACGGGUAGCUGGUCUGAGAGGACGACCAGCCACACUGGGACUGAGACACGGCCCAGACUCCUACGGGAGGCAGCAGUGGGGAAUUUUGGACAAUGGGCGCAAGCCUGAUCCAGCCAUACCGCGUGCGGGAAGAAGGCCUUCGGGUUGUAAACCGCUUUUGUCAGGGAAGAAAUCUUCUGGGCUAAUACCUCGGGAGGAUGACGGUACCUAAAGAAUAAGCACCGGCUAACUACGUGCCAGCAGCCGCGGUAAUACGUAGGGUGCAAGCGUUAAUCGGAAUUACUGGGCGUAA